UACGUAGGGACCGAGCGUUGUCCGGAAUCAUUGGGCGUAAAGAGCGUGUAGGCGGCCACUUAAGUCCUGCGUGAAAUCUUGCGGCUCAACCGCAAGCGGUCGUGGGAAACUGGGUGGCUAGAGUGCGGGAGAGGAGAGUGGAAUUCCUGGUGGUAGCGGUGGAAUGCGCAGAUAUCAGGAAGAACACCCGUGGCGAAGGCGGCUCUCUGGAACGCAACUGACGCUGAGACGCGAAAGCGUGGGGAGCAAACAGG
rnacentral:rRNA from 1 species